ensembl:misc_RNA
GUCACUCGGUGUUCUCACCGAAAGCACGUAAUCGCCGGUGUAACUCAUGUUCGCUGGGGGCCUCCCGGCGCGCGGAGAGGCUGGGGUGCGCCCCC